rnacentral:rRNA from 1 species
AGAGUUUGAUCAUGGCUCAGAACGAACGCUGGCGGCAUGCCUAACACAUGCAAGUCGAACGAACCCUUCGGGGUUAGUGGCGCACGGGUGCGUAACGCGUGGGAAUCUGCCCUUUGCUUCGGAAUAACAGUUAGAAAUGACUGCUAAUACCGGAUAAUGUCUUCGGACCAAAGAUUUAUCGGCAAAGGAUGAGCCCGCGUAGGAUUAGCUAGUUGGUGGGGUAAAAGCUCACCAAGGCGACGAUCCUUAGCUGGUCUGAGAGGACGAUCAGCCACACUGGGACUGAGACACGGCCCAGACUCCUACGGGAGGCAGCAGUGGGGAAUAUUGGACAAUGGGCGAAAGCCUGAUCCAGCAAUGCCGCGUGAGUGAUGAAGGCCUUAGGGUUGUAAAGCUCUUUUACCAGGGAUGAUAAUGACAGUACCUGGAGAAUAAGCUCCGGCUAACUCCGUG